GACGAACGCUGGCGGCGUGCUUAACACAUGCAAGUCGAGCGGAAAGGCCACUUCGGUGGUACUCGAGCGGCGAACGGGUGAGUAACACGUGAGUAAUCUGCCCUUGGCUUUGGGAUAGCCACCGGAAACGGUGAUUAAUACCGGAUAUGACCACUCUAGGCAUCUAGUGGUGGUGGAAAGUUUUUCGGCCAGGGAUGUGCUCGCGGCCUAUCAGCUUGAUGGUGAGGUAAUGGCUCACCAUGGCUUCGACGGGUAGCCGGCCUGAGAGGGUGACCGGUAAAAAUGGGACUGAGAGAGGGCCCAGACUCCUACGGGAGGCAGCAGUGGGGAAUAUUGGACAAUGGGCGGAAGCCUGAUCCAGCAACGCCGCGUGAGGGAUGACGGCCUUCGGGUUGUAAACCUCUUUCGGUAGGGACGAAGCGUGAGUGACGGUACCUACUAAAGAAGCACCGGCCAACUACGUGCCAGCCGCCGCUGUAAAAC
rnacentral:rRNA from 1 species